UGCUAUACAUGCAGUUGGAGCGGACAGAAGGGAGCUUGCUCCCGGAUGUUAGCGGCGGACGGGUGAGUAACACGUGGGUAACCUGCCUGUAAGACUGGGAUAACUCCGGGAAACCGGAGCUAAUACCGGAUAGUUCCUUGAACCGCAUGGUUCAAGGAUGAAAGACGGUUUCGGCUGUCACUUACAGAUGGACCCGCGGCGCAUUAGCUAGUUGGUGGGGUAAUGGCUCACCAAGGCGACGAUGCGUAGCCGACCUGAGAGGGUGAUCGGCCACACUGGGACUGAGACACGGCCCAGACUCCUACGGGAGGCAGCAGUAGGGAAUCUUCCGCAAUGGACGAAAGUCUGACGGAGCAACGCCGCGUGAGUGAUGAAGGUUUCUCGGAUCGUAAAGCUCUGUUGUUAGGGAAGAACAAGUGCGAGAGUAACUGCUCGCACCUUGACGGUACCUAACCAGAAAGCCACGGCUAACUACGUGCCAGCAGCCGCGGUAAUACGUAGGUGGCAAGCGUUGUCCGGAAUUAUUGGGCGUCAAAGGGCUCGCAGGCGGUUUCUUAAGUCUGAUGUGAAAGCCCCCGGG
rnacentral:rRNA from 1 species